UGGGCCAGCCCACUUUUAACCCUUGAAAACCUUGAAUUCACUCCUUCAGCAAAGAGCCGUGGAUUCUACAAAACACCAGUCUCAGGAUGGAGAUAGAAGGAGCAGAAGGCAAGGGCAAAAGCGUAAUUUUCAUCGAAUACAACUGCUUCGAUUUCCACUUCAAUCUUUCCAUCACAGACGGAUUCAAUGCUUGAACUUGCAAUGCUUUAGAAUUGGAGGCCUCCAAGAGGGAAGAUCAGUGGGACCAGCCAGUUAUGGAAUACAUCGAGGCUGCUGAAGGAUAUCUCGAGUAUCAACAGCCAGGUUCAGUGUACCGAUUCAUAGAUGCUGAGAAUGGUGACAUAAGAAAGCAAGGAGUAAAGUUAGAAUGGCGUUGAAGAUGCCAUGCUUCAUCUGAUAGAAAGCAAACUACAACUGGAAUCCUGGAUUUUCUUAUGGAUGCAAAUUACGACUGAGUGUAAGGCCUUUCGUCCUUGAUCGCCAUCCAUCAGUUUUAUUUAGUUUUUUAGUUCAAUUUCCCUCUCUAUGCGUUACCUGAUGCACUGGUUUGUGGGUGAUUGCAUGCAUCCGCAGGGAUUAGUCUCGCCUUAAAAAAAGGGGCUGGGGCACCCUAUUGUCAUUUAAAAAAAUGUUUUCAGCUUUUUGUGUGAACUUCUGUAUUUUUUUUCCUUUUAUGCUCUUUUGAAGUUUGCAUAUAGAGCUUUGCUAAGUCCACAUGCAUGCAGGAGGCAGCUGUACACGCCACACAUGUGCUAGCAUUAGAAAUU